rnacentral:rRNA from 1 species
GAGCGGGCGUAGCAAUACGUCAGCGGCAGACGGGUGAGUAACGCGUGGGAACGUACCUUUUGGUUCGGAACAACACAGGGAAACUUGUGCUAAUACCGGAUAAGCCCUUACGGGGAAAGAUUUAUCGCCGAAAGAUCGGCCCGCGUCUGAUUAGCUAGUUGGUGAGGUAAUGGCUCACCAAGGCGACGAUCAGUAGCUGGUCUGAGAGGAUGAUCAGCCACAUUGGGACUGAGACACGGCCCAAACUCCUACGGGAGGCAGCAGUGGGGAAUAUUGGACAAUGGGGGCAACCCUGAUCCAGCCAUGCCGCGUGAGUGAUGAAGGCCCUAGGGUUGUAAAGCUCUUUUGUGCGGGAAGAUAAUGACGGUACCGCAAGAAUAAGCCCCGGCUAACUUCGUGCCAGCAGCCGCGGUAAUACGAAGGGGGCUAGCGUUGCUCGGAAUCACUGGGCGUAAAGGGUGCGUAGGCGGGUCUUUAAGUCAGGGGUGAAAUCCUGGAGCUCAACUCCAGAACUGCCUUUGAUACUGAGGAUCUUGAGUUCGGGAGAGGUGAGUGGAACUGCGAGUGUAGAGGUGAAAUUCGUAGAUAUUCGCAAGAACACCAGUGGCGAAGGCGGCUCA